GUAAAUUCACGUCCUCCAGUUGGUUUGUCCUGAGCUGUUCAAAAUGUCUUCUUUUGGCAGGUCUGUUGGCAGAAAUACAGAGACCACUAAAGAGAACAAAAACAGAAGCAGAUAGAAGAGGUGACAUCCUCACAGGCGAAGGAGCUGCCAGAAAAAGAGGCCAUUAUUAGAUCUUUGGAAGAGGAGAACAAGAGCUUAGCCAGCGAACUGGCCCGGCUUCUGAAGCAAAAAGAGGAGCUGGAGAAGAAACUAAAACUGGAUCCAGAAAGAGAUGCUGACAGAGAGGAGUUGCAGGUUGCAAUAUUAAAGAACAAGUGCGAAAAGUACCAGAAGGCAAACAGCCGACUCACCAUUAGCUCUCAAGAGAGAGGGAGAGAAAAAGAGACCUUAUGAGAGCUCUGGACCAGGCAAUUGACACCUUCUGCUCCCAUCUGCAGUCUACAGUAUACCCUACUCGGAGAGAAAAUUGUUG